rnacentral:rRNA from 1 species
GAUGAACGCUGGCGGCGUGCCUAAUACAUGCAAGUCGAGCGAACAGAUCAGGAGCUUGCUCCUUUGACGUUAGCGGCGGACGGGUGAGUUACACGUGGUUAACCUACCUCUAAGACUGGGAUACUUUCGGGAAACCGGAGCUAAUACCGGAUAACAUAUUGAACCGCAUGGUUCAAUAGUGAAAUGCGCUUUUGCUGUCACUAAUAGAUGGAUCCGCGCCGUAUUAGCUAGUUGGUAAGGUAACGGCUUACCAAGGCAACGAUACGUAGCCGACCUGAGAGGGAGAUCGGCCACACGGGAACUGAGACACGGUCCAGACUCCUACGGGAGGCAGCAGUAGGGACUCUUCCGCAAUGGGCGAAAGCCUGACGGAGCAACGCCGCGGGAGUGAUGAAGGUCUUCGGAUCGUAAAACUCUGUUAUCAGGGAAGAACAAAUGUGUAAGUAACUGUGCACAUCUUGACGGUACCUGAUCAGAAAGCCACGGCUAACUACGUG